UGCGUGCCAGGAAGUCCUGACCUUACCUCGUGCCCUGCUAUGAUGGAAAAUGGUAAUGGGAAGCUUUCAGCUGCCCACGAGCCUGCAUGACUCUGACUGAUGUAAAGACCUGUAUCCAGGAGCAGAAUUCUGGUCAUUUUUAAACUGUGUUGAGAAGCCAUCAUAAGCCUCAGACUUACUAUUUAGAAUCCAACCCAGGACAGCUUGCUUGGUGACUUGAGCUGGUCAAGCAACAUGUUGUAGAGCAAUAGCCAUGACAAGGGGGAGGUACCCGGGCUGGGGUGCAGGAUCAC
rnacentral:lncRNA from 1 species